rnacentral:rRNA from 1 species
UACGUAGGGCGCAAGCGUUAUCCGGAAUCACUGGGCGUAAAGCGCACGUAGGCGGAUUGUUAAGUCGGGGGUGAAAUCCUGAGGCUCAACCUCAGAACUGCCUUCGAUACUGGCAAUCUCGAGUCCGGAAGAGGUUGGUGGAACAGCUAGUGUAGAGGUGAAAUUCGUAGAUAUUAGCUAGAACACCAGUGGCGAAGGCGGCUCACUGGUCCGGUACUGACGCUGAGGUGCGAAAGCGUGGGGAGCAAACAGG